rnacentral:lncRNA from 1 species
CUCUUUGCCCUCUCGGGGCGGAAGGAACGCGGCGGGCCUGAGACAGGGCUGGCGCGGCCUGAAGCGCCAGCCUUUGGCGAUGCUGCGGCCGGCCGGCCGGCUGCUCGGGGUCGGGCUCCUCCGCCAGCGUCGAGCUGGAGUCGCGCGCCGGCCCGCUGUGGGGUCGGGCGUCCGAGGCCCAGCCGGCCCGAGAAGUAGGCUCGGUCCGAGCUGGACGCUGCAGGUUCUGACCUCGAAACGGGGGCCUGAGUCCUUCAAGAGCCUGGGGGCGAAGAGACGAGAAGGCGGCUGCAUUUUGCUGAAUGGUGGUGGUGUUUGGGGUUUUUAAAAAUCCUUUCUCCCCGAUUUUCCUUUUUACACUUUUUUUUCUUAAAAAAGAUUUUUUUUUUUUUUGUCUUUGCUCUUUUAUUCGUUGGAGUGAAUGCUGUCAGUGGCGAAAUAAAAUUAGGAAGGGGCCCUUGCCCGGCUGGCGCCUUCUCUGCGCGCUGACCUGCGGGCGAGGCUUGGGGCAGAGCUCGGCGGAGGGCGGAGGCCGCAAGUGGAGGGCCAUGCAGAUUGGAUCAAACCAGAAAUAAGGCUCUCUGUCCAGAAAAAGCCUUCACUGAAAGAAAUAACGUGCUUAAGGAAGGAACGUAUAAGUCAGGAAUUGAGCCAAGAAAAGCCUGCGAAGUAAAUAUUUGGCAGGGUCCCAGUCUGAAGGGGAAAGUCUCCCGAGCAGCAGUUCUGGAGGCCAGAAUCUGAAAUCAAAGUGUCAACAGGGCUAUGCUCCCAGAAGCUUUAGGAGAGAAUCUGUUCCUUGGCUUUUCCAAUUUCUGGUGUCUGCUGGCAUUCCUGGGCUUGAAGGCACAAUCAGUUCAUCUUCAAUUGCCUUCUCUGGGGAGACGUGGUUGUGCACCCAUGAAACUGACCUUGUUUGGGAGUCAUGGACAUAUGCAUGAUAUUUAAAGCCAUGAGAUUGAAUGAGAUCAUCAAAGGAAUGAGAUCAUCAAAGGAUGGAGAAGAGGACCAGAGGCUGUGGUCAUCGGGAUGAACAAAACUGAGUAAGCAGAUGGGAGCUGCUUCAGGGAGUGUUGGGAGCUCAAGCUGUGUGAGAGGGGCUCAAAGCCCAGGGUGCUAGAUGGUGCCAGCUACUUCUGCACGGUUGCCAAUGGAAACCAGAUAACUGGACUCUGACUGAGGCAGACAUGCCACCUUACGUCUUCCAUGAGAAGGACCAUAGGUUUCUGGCACAGUCCAAGUGUCCAGAGGAUUGUCAACACUCGUAUCAAUGGGCCCGUAGCUCCUGGAUUCCAGGGAAGGCAUCACUCCUCGUGGCUCUUACCCUCCUCCUGGGGUCAGCAGAAAGGCUGGAGCAGCUCUUCUCACAGAAGGGUCAAGAGGUCAAGUGGAGGCGUGAGAAGCAUCUUCGGGCCUAUGCUUGACACUGGCACAUUGUCCCUUGUUGGCCUAAGAGAGUGACAAAGACAAGAAAUGGGGACGUGCACUCUAUACAUGGACAUGGUGAUAGGAGAGGGGAUUCAUAGCUCUGAUCUAAUCUCUCUCUCUCUACAUCUGCGUACAUGUAUGUAUCUACAUUUAUCCAUCUAUAUACAUCUAUCUCCACAGCUACAUGUAUAUACAUUACCUAUUUAUCUCUACAUCUAUCUAUCUAUCCAUCUACAUCUAUAUACAUCUGUCUGUCUCUACAUCUACAUACAGGCAUAUAUUUACACUUAUCUAUCUAUCCAUCUACAUAUAUCUGUCUAUCUACAUCUAUUUAUCUGUCUAUAUAUUUAGAGAUAUUCAUUUCUAUGUGUAUAUAAAGAGUUUUAAAAAAGGAUAGACCACAAAUUAAUGGGAGUUUUGUGAACAUGGUAGAUUUUAAAAUCAUUUUUAUUUUUUCUUUAAAUUUUUGCCAUACGUACCCUGCUUGGUGUAAUCUUAUAACAACAAUAAAGACAUUUUAUUGC